GACAGAGGGUGCAAACGUUGUUCGGAAUUACUGGGCGUAAAGCGAGUGUAGGCGGUUUCCUAAGUCAGGUGUGAAAGCCCCGGGCUCAACCCGGGAAGUGCACUUGAAACUGGGAGGCUAGAGUAUCGGAGAGGUUGGUGGAAUUCUCGGUGUAGCGGUGAAAUGCGUAGAUAUCGUAAGGAAGACCAGUGGCGAAGGCGGGUCUCUGGACAGUUCCUGACGCUGAGGCACGAAGGUCAGGGGAGCAAACGGG
rnacentral:rRNA from 1 species